GACAGAGGGGGCAAGCGUUGCUCGGAAUUACUGGGCGUAAAGGGCGCGUAGGCGGAAUGGCAAGUCGGUCGUGAAAUCCUUCGGCUCAACCGAAGAACGUCGAUCGAAACUGCCGUUCUUGAGGAUUGCAGAGGAGACUGGAAUUCCCGGUGUAGCGGUGAAAUGCGUAGAUAUCGGGAGGAAUACCGAUGGCGAAGGCAGGUCUCUGGGCUGACACUGACGCUCAUGCACGAAAGCGUGGGGAGCAAACAGG
rnacentral:rRNA from 1 species